rnacentral:rRNA from 1 species
GACGAACGCUGGCGGCGUGCUUAACACAUGCCAGUCGAACGGAAAGGCUCCAGCUUGCUGGAUUACUCGAGUGGCGAACGGGUGAGUAACACGUGGGUAAUCUGCCCUUCACUCUGGGAUAAGCCUGGGAAACUGGGUCUAAUACUUGAUAUGACCUUUCUCCUUAUGUGGUUUGGUGGAAAGUUUUUCGGUUUAGGAUGAGCCCGCGGCCUAUCAGCUUGUUGGUGGGGUGAUGGCCUACCAAGGCGACGACGGGUAGCCGGCCUGAGAGGGUGAUCGGCAACAUUGGGACUGAGAUAAGGCCCAGACGGCAACGGGAGGCAGCAGUGGGGAAUAUUGCACAAUGGGCGGAAGCCUGAUGCAGCGAAGCCGCGUGAGGGAUGACGGCCUUCGGGUUGUAAACCUAUUUCAGCAGGGACGAAGCGUAAGUGACGGUACCUGCAGAAGAAGCACCGGCUAACUAUGUG